UACAGAGGGUGCGAGCGUUGUCCGGAAUCACUGGGCGUAAAGGGCGCGUAGGUGGUGGCUUAAGCGUGCGGUGAAAGCUCGGGGCUCAACUCCGAGUCGGCCGUGCGAACUGGGCUCACUGGAGCAUAGUAGAGGCAGGUGGAAUUCCGGGUGUAGCGGUGGAAUGCGUAGAGAUCCGGAAGAACACCGGUGGCGAAGGCGGCUCACUGGACCGGUACUGACGCUGAUGCGCGAAAGCGUGGGGAGCAAACGGG
rnacentral:rRNA from 1 species